rnacentral:rRNA from 1 species
CUUAAAGUCAUCCUCAGUUCGGACUGGGGUCUGCAACCCGACCCCACGAAGCUGGAUUCGCUAGUAAUCGCGCAUCAGCCAUGGCGCGGUGAAUACGUUCCCGGGCCUUGUACACACCGCCCGUCAAGCCAUGAAAGCCGGGGGCGCCUGAAGUCCGUGACCGCGAGGGUCGGCCUAGGGUGAAACCGGUGAUUGGGGCUAAGUCGUAACAAGGUACC